rnacentral:rRNA from 1 species
CGGACGGGUGAGUAACGCGUGAGAAACUGUCUUCAGGUCGGGGACAACAGUUUGAAAAGACUGCUAAAACCGGAUGUGCCUUUGGGUGAAAGAUUUUUUGCCUGAAAAAGAGCUCGCGUCAGAUUUGCUAGUAGGUGGUGUAAGAGACUACCUAGGGUCCGAUCUGUAGCUGGUCUGAGAGGACGAUCAGCCACACUGGAACUGAGACACGGUCCAGACUCCUACGGGAGGGAGCAGUGGGGAAAUUUCCGCAAAGGGGGAAAGCCUGACGGAGCAAAACCGCGUGAGGGACGAAGGGUCUUGGGUCGUAAACCUCUUUUCUCAAGGAAGAUUUUGACGGUACUUGAGGAAUAAGCAUCGGGUAACUCUGUGCCAGCAGCCGCGGUAAAACAGAGGAUGCAAGCGUUUUCCGGAAAGAUUGGGGGUAAAGCGUCCGCAGGUGGUUUUAAAAGUCUGCUGUUUAAGCGUGUGGGUCAACCACAUACAGGGAGUGGAAACUAUUUGACUAGAGUAUGUUUGGGGUAGAGGGAAAUCCCAGUGUAGCGGUGAAAAGCGUAGAGAUUGGGAAGAACACCGGUGGGGAAAGCGCUCUGCUAGGACAAAACUGACACUGAGGGACGAAAGCUAGGGGAGCGAAAGGGAUUUGAUACCCCAGUAGUCCUAGCCGUAAACGAUGGAUACUAGGGGUUGCCCGUAUCGACCCGGGGAUUGUCGUAGCUAACGCGUUUAGUAUCCCGCCUGGGGAGUACGCACGCAAGUGUGAAACUCAAAGGAAAUGACGGGGGGCCGCACAAGCGGUGGAGUAUGUGGUUUUAAUCGAUGCAACGCGAAGAACCUUUCCAGGACUUGACAUGUCGCGAACCCUGCUGAAAGGUGGGGGUGCCUUCGGGAGCGCGAACACAGGUGGUGCAUGGGUGUCGUCAGCUCGUGUCGUGAGAUGUUGGGUUUAGUCCCGCAACGAGCGCAACCCUCGUUUUUUGUUGCCAUCAUUUAGUUGGGGACUCUAGAGAGACUGCCGGUGACAAACCGGAGGAAGGUGGGGAUGACGUCAAGUCAGCAUGCCCCUUUCGUCCUGGGGUACACACGUACUACAAAGCUACGAACAAAGGGGAGCUAGUUUGCAAAAACAUGCAAAACUCAGAAAACGUAGCUCAGUUCAGAUUGAAGGGUGCAACUCGCCUUCAUGAAGUCGGAAACGCUAGUAAAUGCAGGUCAGCAUACUGCAGUGAAAUCGUUCCCGGGGCUUGUACACACCGCCCGUCACACCAUGGAAGCUGGUCACGCCCGAAGUAGUUUUCCUAACCUUUUCGAGGACGGAGACUCCGAAGGUAGGGGUGGUGACUGGGGUGAAGUCGUAACAAGGUAGCCGUACC